rnacentral:rRNA from 1 species
CGAAUGCUGACGUGAGUAACGACAAAACGGGUGAAAAACCCGUUCGCCGAAAGACCAAGGGUUCCAGUCCAACGUUAAUCGGGGCUGGGUGAGUCGACCCCUAAGGCGAGGCCGAAAGGCGUAGUCGAUGGGAAAAUGGUUAAUAUUCCAUUACUUCUGUGUAAUGCGAUGAGAGGACGGAGAAGGCUAAAUCAGCCUGGCGUUGGUUGUCCAGGUGAAAGGAUGUAGGCAUGUAUCUUAGGCAAAUCCGGGGUACUCUAUGCUGAGAUCUGAUAGCAAGCUGUACUUGUACAGCGAAGUGGUUGAUGCCAUGCUUCCAGGAAAAGUCUCUAAGCUUCAGUUACACAGGAAUCGUACCCGAAACCGACACAGGUGGUCAGGUCGAGUAGACCAAGGCGCUUGAGAGAACUCUGCUGAAGGAACUAGGCAAAAUGGUACCGUAACUUCGGGAGAAGGUACGCUGUUGUUGGUGAUGGAACUCGCUUCCUGAGCUGACGACAGCCGCAGAAACCAGGCCGCUGCAACUGUUUAUUAAAAACAUAGCACUCUGCAAACACGAAAGUGGACGUAUAGGGUGUGAUGCCUGCCCGGUGCUGGAAGGUUAAUUGAUGGGGUUAGCGUAAGCGAAGCUCUUGAUCGAAGCCCCAGUAAACGGCGGCCGUAACUAUAACGGUCCUAAGGUAGCGAAAUUCCUUGUCGGGUAAGUUCCGACCUGCACGAAUGGCAUAAUGAUGGCGGCGCUGUCUCCAGCAGAGGCUCAGUGAAAUCGAAAUCGCUGUGAAGAUGCAGUGUACCCGCGGCUAGACGGAAAGACCCCGUGAACCUUUACUGCAGCUUGACACUGAACUUUGACCUUACUUGUGUAGGAUAGGUGGGAGGCUUUGAAGCUGGAACGCUAGUUCCAGUGGAGCCGUCCUUGAAAUACCACCCUGGUAAUGUUGAGGUUCUAACUCUGUCCCGUGAUCCGGGACGAGGACCGUGUCUGGUGGGUAGUUUGACUGGGGCGGUCUCCUCCUAAAGAGUAACGGAGGAGUACGAAGGUGCGCUCAGCGUGGUCGGAAAUCACGCGUAGAGUAUAAAGGCAAAAGCGCGCUUAACUGCGAGACCCACAAGUCGAGCAGGUACGAAAGUAGGUCUUAGUGAUCCGGUGGUUCUGUAUGGAAGGGCCAUCGCUCAACGGAUAAAAGGUACUC